rnacentral:rRNA from 1 species
UACGUAGGGUCCGAGCGUUGUCCGGAAUUACUGGGCGUAAAGAGCUCGUAGGUGGUUUGUCGCGUUGUUCGUGAAAACUCACAGCUCAACUGUGGGCGUGCGGGCGAUACGGGCAGACUUGAGUACUGCAGGGGAGACUGGAAUUCCUGGUGUAGCGGUGAAAUGCGCAGAUAUCAGGAGGAACACCGGUGGCGAAGGCGGGUCUCUGGGCCGAAACUGACGCUGAGGAGCGAAAGCGUGGGGAGCAAACAGG